UACCAGCACCCCGAGUGGUCGGGACGUUUAUUGGGCCUAAAGCAUCCGUAGCCGGUUCUACAAGUCUUCCGUUAAAUCCAACUGCUUAACAGGUGGGCUGCAGAAGAUACUAUAGAGCUAGGAGGCGGGAGAGGCAAGCGGUACUCGAUGGGUAGGGGUAAAAUCCGUUGAUCCAUUGAAGACCACCAGUGGCGAAGGCGGCUUGCCAGAACGCGCUCGACGGUGAGGGAUGAAAGCUGGGGGAGCAAACCGG
rnacentral:rRNA from 1 species